UGCAUGCAUUAUCUAAUUGCAUGAGCUUAUAUUAGUCCUUCCCAGAGGGCCUGUGGCUCAUAAUGCAGGGGACAGACAAAUAACCACUGUGUGAGAAGCUGUUCAAUAUUUUACCUUCUCCUCUCUGUUUGUGUGGUCCCAGGCUUAUUCGCUGAACACCAUUCACUUCCUGCUGAAGUGAGCAGUGCGGGUGUCUCUCUCAGUGGGAGCUGACAAUUUGAUGAUACUUCAUCAGCGUGGGACUCCUGCUGAGAAGUAGAUUGAGACAAAGGAAAUGCCUCUCACUAUUGGAACAAAUAAGAAAUCAGAUUUUCUAAGUUAUUGCUAGUCAUUAAUCUUACCAGCAGAAUGACAGUCCUCAGAAAAAAAACAAACAAAAACACCAGGCUGGGACUCAGGAGCUGUACUAAAAUGCUGGUUUCACCAGAGACUUCCUGCAAACCUCAGGUAGAUGCUCUCUCAGGAGACCAUGGGAGAACGCUGUAGCACCAGCAACAUCAGUCUUGCUGGUGGAAGUAACCUGCCCUCCAUCUCUGGGGCUUUGUGCUUGGAUCCCACUGACCCGCAGACACACAUCUGUGUUUUCUGUACUCCCUUGAGAUCUUUCUUGGAUGCCAAGUCCUGAACAGCCUGCAGUACAGGCCACGGCUCAUGAUGUCCAGCUGACUUCUACUGCCAUAAACAGGAUGAUAUUUGUUUAAUUUAGUGAAAUAAAUGCCUCUCCUAGCUGUUUGGAAAGCAAAUCCCUCCUUACCCUCCAGCUGGUAUUUGCUGUACUUGAGUGAGACUGGUAAAAAGCUUGGGUUAUAAUUGAAUGCUGCUAUGUUUGUGUAGAACCAACAAGCUUUCUUAAUGCUUCUUAGGUCUUUUUAAGCCAAGGAACUGCUCUUUUCCUUGCUGGAGCUCUCCAGUGCUCUAACAGCAUUGCACAUAGCAGAUCUUCAAACAGGGACAGCAAGCAAAACUGAAGCAGCAGGUACUGCCGCAGAGCAUAAUAAUACAUUUGUGCAGGACUUUACAGAGCUUUCUGAAGUUCCUCACAACAGUCACACAGUACCUCUUCAGUAUUUACCAACAAGAACUGCCUAUGGUCCUGCUAGCACAGCGCUACUAAAUGGUAGAGCCAUGGUCCCCGCCUAGGCCUUCUCUUUUCUGUAGGUCUUUGCUAUAAUCCUUAUCCCAACGUGAAAAAUUUGGACUUUACUGUUAGCAGGCAUCCGGACACUUCUACAGAUAUCCAUGCUGACAGACUCCUGAGAGACUAUUUAUAAUUCCAGUGCUUUUGAGCGCAAUGAUGUUUUUUCCAUUGCCUUCAGCAGCAGCAGGAGCAAGUGUUAGUACUGAGAAAAACUGCAGAGAUAUGAGGCCAGAACGAGUGGUGAUUAAAUGAGUAGAAGCUUUCAAACAGGACUGAGACCCAAAGUCCCAGAUUUUUUGCCUCUUCUCAUCCAGCUCCACAGAGAGUAAGUUAAUAGAAAUAUGCAUGCUUUGGAAUGUAGUACAUAUUUCCUCCUUUCAAAAUUUAUGUACGUCUACUAAUUUAUUCUCUUCAAUGAUGACAAGAGGAAUUCAGGCUGAUGGCUGGCGCUAUACCAUAUUAAUUGCUUGCUUUGCAAAAAACAUCUGUGCUACAGGGCCAAGUUCUGUCUUCUGCUUCUAGUUGCCUUAAUUCUAUGUAUAUUCCCAUAUGUCCUUCAGUCUCUUCUUCUUACUCUUCCCUCCAAAUUUCCCCUUCACUUCAGUGCCUCUCAUAUUUUAUGGGCUGUCUGAUCACAUGCCUAAGUCAAAGAGAUUUCUUCCAAAUGUUUGCUUUCAUUCACAGCUCCCAGUUCAUGUUAGGGGAGAACUGUAGAUAAAGGAGUGAAAAAGAUGCAUUGCUUACAUGUGAUCUUAAGUCAUCUUAAUUAAGACGACUUCCUCAUGAGGAACACUCCUUAGAAAUGUCUAUGGUCUGCAGAGAACCCAGUUGUUAAAUGAAAAACAUGCUAGAAGACCACCACAACUUUAGCCAGUAACUAACAACUCACUCUGCCUCCAGGGUUUAACUGAUGGAUAUUCUAGAGAGCCCACUGUUGCCGUAUGUGAGAAUAAAUCAUGCUUCAAUUAUUGCAUCUUAUAGCCAAUUGCAGCACAGGGAACAUGCUUUGCCAGCAGCUGUUAUCAGCAUACUUGGAAUUCUUGACCAAGAUCAUUGAAAACCCAAUAUGAGAACGAAAGGCUACAAAUUAUAUCCAUAGUAUGUUAAAGUUAAGACAGUAGGCUGUAAAAUAAAGAGAAAUCUCUCUAUUAGAUAGAGCUGUCUCAGAGUCACUUCUUCCUUUAGAAAUCAUGAUCUACACAGUUUCAUAAAUCGAUGAAAGGAUUUUGACCAUUAAACUUAAUUGAUACUGAAUUUAAAGGCAUGAACUUAAAUCAUUUUGCCAUUUUCUUUGACAAUUAGUUUUUGGCAUUGCAUUCCUCUCUAUCACUAUAUGAAGCAAAAAAUCACAAGUACUGAGGAAGCAAGAUUAGCAUGUAGGAAAGAUGAAGCACUGUGAGAAGCGACAUCUGGGGCAAUGCAAAAGAUGUUUCAAGGAGUGUAAACAGGCAGAAGUAAAAACAAAAUAAAACCUGACUUUUAAGUAAAAUCAGCAACAACUUGGAUUUAUAUAGUGCUCCAUAUGUUCUAGAUGAAUAACACCCAAGGCGUUUUAGAGUGAAGUAAGGUAGGAAGCACGCUCAAGGCGAGAAAGUAAGAAAAUAAUUAAAUUUCUUGAAAAUGUUUUCAGCUUUGAGUAGGUGUAAUUCUUCCUUUUAGAUGGCUGUUGG